rnacentral:lncRNA from 1 species
AAAAAUCAUGCAGUUGGAAGCUGAAAGAUUAGUUGGAUGGAGGAGGUGAAAGUGUUGGAAUUGCAGGCAUGUUGGGAAGUGAAGGCAUUGGUGGCAGAGUCAUUUUCGGAACAGAGGGCAACGUUGGCAAAGAUGGUAAUGGUGUUGCUGUUGGAAGUGUUGGCAAUGGUGGUAAUGCUGCAGGGAAGUUGGGAAUAUUAGGCAGUUGUGGCACUGUUGGUUUAGGCAGCGAGGGGAUCGUAGGCAAGUUGGGAAG